CGGGGGAGGAUGCGCGUUCCUUAAAGAAAUGAAAUCAAUUGCGGGAGGGGGAUGAGCGCUUGCCCCGAGCCUCGCUCCGUCCCGCGGGGGACCCUGCUCUGUCCCCCCUGUCCCCUCCCUGUCCCGCUCCCCCACAACCUCCCGGCUGCUGCAUCCAUCCCCAUCCCCUGCUUUUCCCCCCAAAUCCGCCUCUCCACGGGCGUUUUCGGAGCUCGCUCGGGCUGUUCGCUGAGAGAACGUGACCGUUUUGUUAAAAACAUCUUUGGUUCGCCCUUGACGGCUCCUGCCCGGGCGGAAAAUGCUUUUAACGCUAAAAGCCCCAUUAGGCGGUGGUGCUGCCGCUCCGGCUCAUUAGCGAGCAGCCUGGAGACCACGGAGUGGUCACAGCAGCUCAUGACAGCGGGGACACACCGCCAGCCCGUCCUGGGAUGCACGGAGAUGCUUUAUCCACCGGGAGAUGGGCUGUGACGCCGGGCUGGGUCUCACUUUAUGCUCUGCAGCUCCGAUCAUGCUGUUUUGGGGUGGUUUUGGGGUUGUUUUGUUGGGGUUUUUUUGCAGCAUGGGCUUCCUACAUGACCAACUCGCCGACGCUGAUCGUGAUGAUCGGGCUGCCUGCGCGGGGCAAGACCUACAUGUCCAAAAAGCUCACCCGCUACCUCAACUGGAUCGGGGUGCCCACCAAAGUGUUUAAUUUAGGGGUGUAUAGACGCGAGGCCGUGAAGUCCUACAAGUCCUAUGACUUCUUCAGGCACGACAACAAAGAGGCCAUGGAAAUCCGCAAACGCUGUGCCCUGGUGGCUCUGGAAGAUGUGAAGUCUUAUCUCUUGGAGGAGUGUGGGCAAAUCGCUGUGUUUGAUGCGACCAACACGACUCGGGAGCGACGGGACCUGAUCUUAAAUUUUGCUAAGGAAAAUGCUUUCAAGGUGUUUUUCGUGGAGUCUGUCUGUGAUGAUCCAGAGGUCAUCGCUGCCAAUAUCCUGGAGGUGAAAGUUUCCAGCCCCGACUACCCAGAGAGGCACCGGGAGAACGUGAUGGACGAUUUCCUGAAGAGGAUCGAGUGCUACAAGGUCACCUACGAGCCUCUGGACCCGGAUGCUGAUGACAAAGAUCUUUCCUUCAUUAAAGUGAUCAACGUGGGCCAGCGGUUCCUGGUCAACCGAGUCCAGGAUUACAUCCAGAGUAAAAUCGUCUAUUACCUGAUGAACAUCCACGUCCAGCCACGCACCAUCUACCUGUGCCGGCACGGGGAGAGCGAGUACAACCUCCUGGGCAAGAUUGGAGGGGACUCUGGUCUGUCAGCCCGAGGGAAACAGUUUUCCCAGGCACUGAAGAAGUUCCUGGAGGAGCAGGAGAUCGUGGACCUGAAGGUGUGGACGAGCCAGCUGAAGAGGACAAUCCAGACAGCCGAGUCCCUGGGGGUGCUCUACGAGCAGUGGAAGAUCCUCAACGAGAUCGAUGCUGGGGUCUGUGAAGAAAUGACCUAUGCAGAAAUCGAAGCCAAGUACCCAGAGGAGUUUGCCAUGAGGGAUCAGGAGAAAUAUCUUUAUCGUUAUCCUGGAGGGGAGUCCUACCAGGACCUGGUGCAGCGCCUGGAGCCGGUAAUUAUGGAGCUGGAAAGGCAAGGCAACGUCCUGGUUAUCUCCCACCAGGCAGUUAUGAGGUGCCUCCUGGCUUAUUUUCUUGACAAGAGUGCAGAUGAGCUGCCCUACCUGCGCUGCCCCCUCCACACCAUUCUCAAGCUCACACCUGUUGCCUAUGGCUGCAAAGUGGAGACAAUUACCCUGAAUGUGGAAGCAGUCAACACCCACAGGGACAAACCCUCCCUCAACUCACACGACCUCCCCAGCAGGCAGAGCCCUGUGAGGAUGAGGAGGAACAGCUUUACCCCGCGGGCCAGCGCCGACACCGUAAAGCGCCCGCGGCACCACAGCCUGGGCAGCAAACCCCUCCAUCUGCUGGGGCCUCUGCCAUCCCUGGAAGCUCGAGGGCCUUUCCCAUCCCUGGAAGCUCGAGAAGGGGCUGAGCAGCCACAGCUGGAAGUCACUGUCCAGGUGGUACCUCCCCUCUGCUCCCCCUCCCCACCAUCAUCACCCGUGGUCCUCUCUGAGAUCCAGACCCUUCCCAGCAUCUCCAGCAGGGUCUGUGUUUCUGCAUGGAAAUCACCCAGCCUGGACUGGAUUAAGGGAAAACAAACAGCUGGAAAAAACCCUCAAAACCAACCCCAAAACAUAAAAAUCCCACCCCCAAUUCCAAUUGGAAUUCUGGUGCCAGUCUUUCAGUGUCAGGCAGGUUUCCAUCAGGGGGGUUCAUUCUGGGUAGGAUUUUGCUUCUGGGCUAAAACCUGAUUGGAAAAGUAAGAAAUGCCCUCUUUGUCCCAGUUUUUACUGCAGCCAAGUGAUGUCCCUGCCUUCUGUCACCUCCUGCUGCAACACAAACCUGGCCUGGGCUGACAGGAAAUUCUGGGGCUGCUUCACUCCUCCCCUCAUUUGCUUUGCUGCUUUUCCUAUUUCAAUCUCCUUUAAAAUGCACUGAGAGCCCUGCUGUGCUUCUCUGUUUCCUUUGCAGCCUCCAGAGGGAAAUGCUUGCCUCUGAGUGCCACUGCAAGCAGCUUGGGUGUGCUCUCUGUGGGAAGAUGGCCACUCUGGCAGUGUAGGGGUUCCUGCUUUCCUUGGAUCCAGCUGGGAAUUCCAGGGCCAGGAGGAGCCGGGCAGCUGGGACUGGAGCAUCCCCGUGAGCCACCCUGGCCAGUACUCGCCUUGAACUGGGACUUCAGAGCCUGUCCAUGUCCUUUCUUUCCAAAUGCUGGAAUGUCUGUCUGUCCACAGGGCUGGAGAAGAUUUAUUGUGGAGAUUUUUCCAAGCUGCUUUUCACGCUCGUAAGCCAACGCAUCCCCGGGUGUUGAAACAGUGUCCCACGUCUUUCCUCCUGGCCAGGUGCCAAAAUUAACCACAGUGGGAGGACAAAAUAAUCAUGUUUUCACUCACUGAGGCAGCUUUUCUUUGGAAGAGACAUUUCCAAGCCAAAUCCCCAAGCUUUUAUUUCUCUGUUACCAUCUCCAAGUUAUUUCCAAGUUCAAACUCAGUUUUUUCUGUUGUUCAGCCGCCCAGGGAGCUCCAGGUUUGGUUUGACUUUGCCUCUGUGAGUGCUGAUGUGAAUCCCCCCAGUCUGAGCCGGUUCCUUUGCCCUGGGAAGGUUUUUGCUUGGAUGUGACCCCAGGCCAGCACAUCCAUCCCAUGGGCAGCCUCCUGUGAGGGACAGAUGGGAACAAACCCUCCUGCCCCUCUCUGGAGGCACCACAGCUCCCAGUGCUUUAAACCCCAUCUCAAUCCCUAUUUUAGCUUCUCAUCCCAACCUAAACUUCAUCCCCUCACUCAUUUUUCCUGCAUUUUAUCCAUUUACCCCAGAAAAUGGGAUUAUGGCUGGGACCAGCAGGGCUCCUGGGCAGGGUUUGCAGGAAGCACAAGGUUUUUACCAGUUUUUCUUUAUAAUACACCAAAUUUUAGGCCCACAACAAGCUUUUAACUUGCCUAUGAAUAAGCUGUGAAUGUUCCCAACGCUGCCUUUCAUAGUUUUAAGCUGUUGUAGAGUUUAGAGCACAAGUGGUGCAGCUCUGUGUGGCUGUGUCUUAACUUAAAUCCUGUCCUUAAAUCCCCACCAAACCCCAAAUUUUCAGUUCUCUCCCACAAGUCUUGACUUGUGUUUUGCCAAACUCCAUUUCACCCCACUCCAGCUGUUCUUGCAAUAAGGGCAGGACCCUCAUGGUGGGUGAAGAAAGGAACAUUUGGGUACAGAGCAGGAGGCUGUUCUGGACUUGCUGUUCCCAGGUGACUCCAGGAUUUAUCUGAGCAAUUUAAAAUAAGUUGCUUUUUUUUAAAUGUGGAAAUAAUUUCACAGCAGGGAAACCUGGCUGUGGAGGAGCUCAGCAGCCCCAGAGCUUGAGGUUUACCUGGGCAUUUUGAGCUCAAACUUGGUUGUUUUAAACACUCCCAGAGCUGUAAUUUGAUAAAACUGAGAUAGAGAGGACCAAGGCACUAAUGUGGACCCCUCAGGAUUUCCGAGGAGCAGAAAAAUGUGUUGAUCUAAAGCAAUUGUGCCACAGAAAAGUGAAAUUUGGUGGCGAGAAAUUGAGUUUUUAUUAGUUUUUCUUCUCAGGGUUUUUACCCCAGGUCUGGUCUUGGGUUUUAAAUGUUCUUGUGCUUAGAAAUAAACAAGAAAAAAUAAAUUAAAUGUUGAAGGAAGAGGUUUAGAGCCUGUCCAUGGCAGUCCUCACUGUCACACUCCAAAAUGCUCUGAACGCACAAACCUGUCCUUGUCAGGCCAGCUCCUCCAACCAAACCCCUCCUGCUCUGUGGAAAAAGGAGUGGAAAAUGUACUGUAGGUUGUUUACGCACAAAAAUGCUGGGAUAACUUGCUGAAGAGUUUUAUAUCACUGAGCAGUAAAUGAUUGUAAGGAGACAAAAAAAAAAAUCUAUAUUUUUACCUGCUGGGAUUUGUGAAUGUCGCUGUUGAUGUGUUGGUGGUUGUGAUUUUUUUUUUAAUCAUUGCUGAAAAUCGGAUGUUUUGCAGUUUGGAUCAGUGGCUGGGGGUCCCUUUUGGGGCUGUGAGAUGGAAUUUCAUCCUUCUCUGCAGCAUUUGUGCCUCAGUGCUUUAAUUAAAGCUUUUUCCUCCUGCAU